rnacentral:rRNA from 1 species
AGCUCGUAGGUGGUUUGUCGCGUUGUUCGUGAAAUCUCACGGCUUAACUGUGAGCGUGCGGGCGAUACGGGCAGACUUGAGUACUGCAGGGGAGACUGGAAUUCCUGGUGUAGCGGUGGAAUGCGCAGAUAUCAGGAGGAACACCGGUGGCGAAGGCGGGUCUCUGGGCAGUAACUGACGCUGAGGAGCGAAAGCGUGGGGAGCGAACAGGAUUAGAUACCCUGGUAGUCCACGCCGUAAACGGUGGGUACUAGGUGUGGGUUUCCUUCCUUGGGAUCCGUGCCGUAGCUAACGCAUUAAGUACCCCGCCUGGGGAGUACGGCCGCAAGGCUAAAACUCAAAGAAAUUGACGGGGGCCCGCACAAGCGGCGGAGCAUGUGGAUUAAUUCGAUGCAACGCGAAGAACCUUACCUGGGUUUGACAUGCACAGGACGCCGGCAGAGAUGUCGGUUCCCUUGUGGCCUGUGUGCAGGUGGUGCAUGGCUGUCGUCAGCUCGUGUCGUGAGAUGUUGGGUUAAGUCCCGCAACGAGCGCAACCCUUGUCUCAUGUUGCCAGCGGGUAAUGCCGGGGACUCGUGAGAGACUGCCGGGGUCAACUCGGAGGAAGGUGGGGAUGACGUCAAGUCAUCAUGCCCCUUAUGUCCAGGGCUUCACACAUGCUACAAUGGCCGGUACAAAGGGCUGCGAUGCCGCGAGGUUAAGCGAAUCCUUUUAAAGCCGGUCUCAGUUCGGAUCGGGGUCUGCAACUCGACCCCGUGAAGUCGGAGUCGCUAGUAAUCGCAGAUCAGCAACGCUG